UUGCGGAUGUGGACGCUGCCGUCGUCGGCUCGUCUCGAAAUGCAUUAGCUGGAGCGGCCUCCCGCGUCGGCCUCGGUGUGAUAUUUCUUUGCGCCGUCAUCGACCAGGUUGUGCCGCUUUGCUUCGAACCCCGCGUUCGCCACGCGGAAAUUUACUCAAACUUUGAUCUCGAAUCGGGUGGGACUACCCGCUGAACUUAA
rnacentral:misc_RNA from 1 species